UCAGGGACGCUGGGCUGGGAACUGUCCAAUCAGGCACAAAGCUGGAGCAGACAGGGCGGCUUCCGGGAUGUGGCGGGGCCUUUGUCUCUCGCUGCCGCGGGAGUUCCAGGUCUCGACUUCGCUGCUCUGUGUCCUCUGCUCCAGGAGGCCCAGCCUGUGUGUCUUUGUGACCUGCAGGUAUUGGAGAGCCACAGCUAAGACGCCAAGAACCCCUGGAAGCCUAGAAAUGGGACUGUUGACAUUUAGGGAUGUGGCCAUAGAAUUCUCUCUGGAGGAGUGGCAAUGUCUGGACACUGCACAGCAGAAUUUAUAUAGGAAUGUGAUGUUAGAGAACUACAGAAACCUGGCCUUCCUGGGUAUUGCUGUCUCUAAGCCAGACCUGAUUACUUGUCUGGAGCAAGGAAAAGAGCCCUGGAAUAUGAAGCGACAUGAGAUGGUGGAUGAACCCCCAGGUGUAUGUCCUCAUUUUGCUCAAGACUUUUGGCCAGAGCAGGCCAUGGAAGAUUCUUUCCAAAAAGUAUUACCGAGAAAAUAUGAAAAAUGUGGACAUGAGAAUUUACAGUUAAGAAAAGGUUGUAAAAGUGUGGAUGAGUGUAAGGUGCACAAAGAGGGUUAUAAUAAACUUAACCAGUGUGUCACAACUGCCCAGAGCAAAGUAUUUCAAUGUGGUAAAUAUUUGAAAGUCUUCUAUAAAUUUUUAAAUACAAACAGACAUAUGAUAAGACAUACUGGAAGGAAACGCUUCAAAUGUAAAAAAUGCAUCAAAUCAUUUUGCAUCCGUUUACACAAAACCCAACAUGAAUGUGUUUAUAUUACAGAGAAGUCCUAUAAAUGUAAGGAAUGUAAAAAAACCUUUCAUUGGUCCUCAACCCUUACUAAUCAUAAGAAAAUUCAUACUGAAGUUAAACCCUACAAAUGUGAAGCUUUUAAGCAACUCUCAACCCUUACUACACAUAAAAUAAUUUGUGCUGAAGAGAAAAUCUACAAGUGUGAAGAAUGUGGCAAAGCAUUUCUAUGGUCCUCAACCCUAACUAGACAUAAGAGGAUACACACUGGAGAGAAACCCUACAAAUGUGAAGAAUGUGGCAAAGCUUUUAGGCAAUCCUCAACCCUUACUAAACAUAAGAUAAUUCAUACUGGAGAGACACCCUACAAAUUUGAAGAAUGUGGCAAAGCUUUUAGGCAAUCCUUAACCCUUACUAAACAUAAGAUAAUUCAUAGUAGAGAGAAACCCUACAAAUGUAAAGAAUGUGGCAAAGCUUUUAAGCAAUUCUCAACCCUUACUACACAUAAAAUAAUUCAUGCUGAAAAGAAACUCUACAAAUGUGAAGAAUGUGGCAAAGCUUUUAAUCAAUCCUCAAAUCUUUCUACACAUAAGAUAAUUCAUACUGGAGAGAAGUCUUACAAGUGUGAAGAAUGUGGCAAAGCAUUUCUAUGGUCCUCAACCCUAACUAGACAUAAGAGGAUACACACUGGAGAGAAGCCCUGCAAAUGUGAAGAAUGUGGCAAAGCUUUUAGCCAUUCCUCAACCCUUGCUAAACAUAAGGUAAUUCAUACUGGAGAGAAACCCUACAAAUGUAAAGAAUGUGGCAAAGCUUUUAGCAGUUCCUCAACCCUUACUAAUCAUAAGAUAACUCAUACUGAAGAGAAACCCUACAAAUGUAAAGAAUGUGGCAAAGCUUUUAAGCGACUCUCAACCCUUACUAAACAUAAAAUAAUACAUGCUGGAGAGAAGCUCUACAAAUGUGAAGAAUGUGGCAAAGCUUUUAAUCGAUCUUCAAAUCUUACUACACAUAAGAUAAUUCAUACUGGAGAGAAACCUUACAAGUGUGAAGAAUGUGGCAAAGCAUUUAUCUGGUCCUCAAGCCUUACUAAACAUAAAAGAAUUCAUACUAGAGAGAAACCCUUCAAAUGUAAGGAAUGUGGCAAAGCAUUUAUAUGGUCUUCAACCCUAACUAGACAUAAGAGGAUACACACUGGAGAGAAGCCCUACAAAUGUGAAGAAUGUGACAAAGCUUUUAGCCAUUCCUCAACCCUUACUAAGCAUAAGACAAUUCAUACUGGAGAGAAACCCUACAAAUGUAAAGAAUGUGGCAAAGCUUUUAAGCACCCCUCAACCCUUGCUAAACAUAAAAUAAUACAUGCUGGAGAGAAACUCUACAAAUGUGAAGAAUGUGGCAAAGCUUUUAAUCAAUCUUCAAAUCUUACUACACAUAAGAUAAUUCAUACUAAAGAGAAACCUUCCAAGAGCAAAGAAUGUGACAAAGCAUUUAUCUGGUCCUCAACCCUUACUGAACAUAAGAUAAUUCAUACCAGAGAGAAAACCUACAAAUGUGAAGAAUGUGGCAAAGCAUUUAGCCAACCUUCACACCUUACUACACAUAAGAGGAUGCACACUGGAGAGAAACCUUACAAAUGUGAAGAAUGUGGCAAAGCUUUUAGCCAAUCCUCAACCCUUACUACACAUAAGAUAAUUCAUACUGGAGAGAAACCCUACAAAUGUGAAGAAUGUGGCAAAGCUUUUAGGAAAUCUUCAACUCUUACUGAACAUAAGAUAAUUCAUACUGGAGAGAAGCCCUACAAAUGUGAAGAAUGUGGCAAAGCAUUUAGUCAAUCCUCAACCCUAACUAGACAUACGAGGAUGCACACUGGAGAGAAACCAUACAAAUGCGAAGAAUGUGGCAAAGCUUUUAAUCGAUCCUCAAAGCUUACUACACAUAAGAUAAUUCAUACUGGAGAGAAACCUUACAAGUGUGAAGAAUGUGGCAAAGCAUUUAUAUCAUCCUCAACCCUAAAUGGACAUAAGAGAAUUCAUACUAGAGAGAAACCCUACAAAUGUGAAGAAUGUGGCAAAGCAUUUAGCCAAUCCUCAACCCUAACUAGACAUAAGAGGUUGCACACCGGAGAGAAACCCUACACAUGUGGAGAAUGUGGCAAAGCCUUUAAAGAGUCCUCAGCUCUUACUAAACAUAAGAUAAUUCACACUGGAGAGAAACCCUACAAAUGUGAAAAAUGUGGCAAAGCCUUUAACCAGUCUUCAAUCCUUACUAACCAUAAGAAAAUUCAUAGUAGAGAGAAACCCUACAAAUGUAAAGAAUGUGGCAAAUCUUUUAACCGGUCUUCAACCUUUACUAAACAUAAGGUAAUUCAUACUGGAGUAAAACUCUACAAAUGUGAAGAAUGUGGCAAAUCCUUUUUCUGGUCCUCAGCCCUAACCAGACAUAAGAAAAUUCAUACUGGACAGCAACCCUACAAACAGGAAAAAUUUGGCAAAGCCUUUAACCAGUUUUCACACCUUACUGCAGAUAAGAUAACUCAUAUUGGAGAGAAAUCUUGCAAGUGUGAAUAAUGUGGUAAAGUCUAUAAAAAGUCCUGGAUUCUUAACAGACAUAAGAUUAUUCAUACUGGAGAAAAACUCUACAAACCUGAAAGAUGUGCCAGUGCUUUUGACAAGUCAAACUUUUCUAAACAUCAAGAAAAUCAUGCUGCUGAGAAAUCCUAGAAAUGUGAAGAAUGUGACAAAGCCUCUAAAUGAUUGUCACACUUGAUUGUAAGAUAAUUCAUACUGGAGAAAACUACCAGUGUGAACAAUGUGGCCAAGCUUUGAACCAAUGCUCACACCUUAAUGCAUAGGAAAGCAUUUAUACUUGAGAAAAAGUGUACAAAUAUAGACAAAGUUAAAAAGCCAUUAAUACCUGCUCACAUCAUACUCAAAAUCAGAGCGUUCAUACUAAAUAAAAACAUUAGAAGUGUAAUUACUGUCCAAAGAUCGAUCAGAAAAUAUAUCUUUAAAGUACAGAAGGUAUUUAUUUUGAAAAACCAUUAUAAAUAUGAGGAAGCAUUAUUUAUGACCUUUUCUAUGGAAAGAACAGGAUCAAAUGGCUUAGAGGCGUCCCCCUAAGACCAGAUGAUCAGCAAGUGCCUGGCACAUGCCAGAGCCUUCUUGGACCAACGCUGGAUUUUUGGACCGGAGAGCCCAAGAGAGGCUGUGUGGAUUUUUCCCUGUUAACUGGGCUCCCGGGAUACUUACUGGCCUUGCUGUCUCUAACUCUGAUAUGAUCUCCUGCUUUGAGCAAAUAAAAGAGCCCUGGAAUGUGAAGAGACAUGAGACAGUAGUCAACUUCUCAGGUAGGUAAGCAUGAAUGAAGCAGAUAGCAGAGACGAGGAGUACAAAGGUCAAAAAGAAUUCCAGACCUUAAAAUGUGGUAUAGAAUGCUCUGCUUCAAUGGAAAGGUUUCCUAAAAAGCCAUUUAUUUCUCUAGCUCCCAAAUAAGAGCAUCUUUUGUCCCAUACCCUUAAAUUCUCUAAGGACUCUACCUCCUAUGUAGUGAUUGUCCUUAGAGGGUACCGUGAGAGCUAAAGUCCUCCUUAUGGCUUAUAAGGUACUGCAAGAUAUGCCUGCUCUUCCAUUGUUUUGGGGGAAUAUAAGAAUAUUUCUGAGUAUUUUUGAGGAACUGCAUGUUAGAUCAUUUAACUUUUCUUUUCCCAUCAUGUCUGAAAUGUGUGAGAGCAGUGGUGAUAUUAAGAUUUGUUUCAGAAAUCACAGGAACAUGAAUGACAGAUGUUACUUAUUUCUCUAUUUUUUUUAUAUUAGCAAUCCUAACAGAUUUGAAGUGAUAGCUCAUCAUUGUUUUCAUUUGCAGUUGCAUUUUGGUAGGUGAUACUGAGCACUUUUUUAUAUCUAUUGGUCAUGUGUAUGUAUUUGUUGGCAAAAUAUUCUUUUCAGUCUUUUGACCAUUUUUUAGUUGGAUUAUUAUUGUUAUUAUUAUACUUGCCUUUGCUUUGAAUUUUCUAUAUAUUUUGAAUACUAAGCUUUUCUGAUAUAUAAAGUUUGCUAUUGUGAGCAUGCUGCAAUAAAUGCGCAAGUAUACGUAUCAUUUUCAUAUAAUAAACUAUUUUUCUUUGGGUAGAUACCCAAUGAUGAGAUUUCUGAAUCAAAUGAUAGUUCUGGCCAGGCGCGGUAGCUCAUGCCUGUAAUCCCAGCACUUUGGGAGGUGGAGGCGGGCAAGUCAUGAGGUCAGAAGUUCGAGACCAGCCUGAGCCAUA